rnacentral:rRNA from 1 species
GACGAACGCUGGCGGCGUGCUUAACACAUGCAAGUCGAACGGAAAGGCCCGGCGUUUGCGGGGUGCUCGAGUGGCGAACGCGUGAGUAACACGUGAGUAAACUGCCCUUAACUGUGGGGGAACUUCAGGGAACUCGGGCUAAUACCGGAUAGGAGAUACUGCUGCGCGGGGGGGGUUGGAAAGAUGGGCGGUUGGGGAUGGAUUCUCGGCUUAUCGGCUUGUUGGUGGGGGAGUGGCUUACCAAGGCUUUGCAGGGUAGCCGGCCUGAGAGGGUAACCGGCCACCUUAGUCCUGCGAUACGGCCCAGACUCCUACGGGAGGCAGCAGGGGGGAAUAUUGCGCAAUGGGCGGAAGCCUGAUGCAGCAACGCCGCGUGCGGGAUGACGGCCUUCGGGUUGUAAACCGCUUUCGCCUGUGCCGAAGCGUGAGUGACGGUAAUGGGUAAAGAAGCACCGGCUAACUACGUG